rnacentral:rRNA from 1 species
AACGAACGUUAGCGGCGCGCCUAACACAUGCAAGUCGAGCGAGAAAGGGAGCAAUCCCCGGUACAGCGGCGCACGGGUGAGUAACACGUAGGUAAUCUGCCCUCGAGUUGGGGAUAACCUUCCGAAAGGAGGGCUAAUACCGAAUGAGACCACGGAGCCGAGAGGCUUUGAGGUCAAAGCCGGCCACUUCACGAAAGCUGGUGCUUGAGGAUGAGCCUGCGGCCCAUCAGCUAGUUGGUAGGGUAAUGGCCUACCAAGGCAAAGACGGGUAGCUGGUCUGAGAGGAUGAUCAGCCACACUGGAACUGAGACACGGUCCAGACUCCUACGGGAGGCUG